rnacentral:rRNA from 1 species
GACGAACGCUGGCGGCGUGCCUAAUACAUGCAAGUAGAACGCUGAAGGAGGAGCUUGCUUCUCUGGAUGAGUUGCGAACGGGUGAGUAACGCGUAGGUAACCUGCCUGGUAGCGGGGGAUAACUAUUGGAAACGAUAGCUAAUACCGCAUAAGAGUAGAUGUUGCAUGACAUUUGCUUAAAAGGUGCAAUUGCAUCACUACCAGAUGGACCUGCGUUGUAUUAGCUAGUUGGUGAGGUAACGGCUCACCAAGGCAACGAUACAUAGCCGACCUGAGAGGGUGAUCGGCCACACUGGGACUGAGACACGGCCCAGACUCCUACGGGAGGCAGCAGUAGGGAAUCUUCGGCAAUGGACGGAAGUCUGACCGAGCAACGCCGCGUGAGUGAAGAGGGUUUUCGGAUCGUAAAGCUCUGUUGUAAGAGAAGAACGAGUGUGAGAGUGGAAAGUUCACACUGUGACGGUAUCUUACCAGAAAGGGACGGCUAACUACGUG